UAAUACGGAGGGUGCAAGCGUUAUCCGGAUUCACUGGGUUUAAAGGGUGCGUAGGUGGGCAGGUAAGUCAGUGGUGAAAUCUCCGGGCUUAACCCGGAAACUGCCGUUGAUACUAUCUGUCUUGAAUAUCGUGGAGGCAGGCGGAAUAUGUCAUGUAGCGGUGAAAUGCUUAGAUAUGACAUAGAACACCGAUUGCGAAGGCAGCUUGCUACACGAUAAUUGACGCUGAGGCACGAAAGCGUGGGGAUCAAACAGG
rnacentral:rRNA from 1 species